UACGUAGGGGGCAAGCGUUGUCCGGAAUCAUUGGGCGUAAAGCGCGUGUAGGCGGCCCGGUAAGUCCGCUGUGAAAGUCGGGGGCUCAACCCUCGAAUGCCGGUGGAUACUGUCGGGCUAGAGUGCGGAAGAGGCGAGUGGAAUUCCUGGUGUAGCGGUGAAAUGCGCAGAUAUCAGGAGGAACACCGAUUGCGAAGGCAGGCUCGCUGGGACGUUACUGACGCUGGAGACGCGAAAGCGUGGGGAGCAAACAGG
rnacentral:rRNA from 1 species